UACGGGGGGUGCAAACGUUGCUCGGAAUCAUUGGGCGUAAAGCGCACGUAGGCGGUCCAGUAAGUCGGGUGUGAAAGCCCUCGGCUCAACCGAGGAAGUGCAUUCGAAACUGCUGAACUUGAGUAUGGAAGAGGGUCGCGGAAUUCCCGGUGUAGAGGUGAAAUUCGUAGAUAUUCGCAAGAACACCAGUGGCGAAGGCGGCUCACUGGCCCGGUACUGACGCUGAGGUGCGAAAGCGUGGGGAGCAAACAGG
rnacentral:rRNA from 1 species